AUUUUUAUAACCGCCAGCAUAAGGGUUCUUCGUCAAGUCUUGACUUCGAAGAUCCCGCAAUGCUUCACGUCUUCGAGCAAUAUGUCCUGCCUGUCUUACAGCUUAACAUACGGAGCCGAAUCGUGGACACUGACGAAGGGACUGGCCCACAAUUUUAGAGUCGUUUAACGUGCAAUGGAAAGGGCGGCAAAAUGACCUUAAUGGUCAAGUUCAUUUUUUAUAUCGGACACAAAUUUUAAUACGUAAAAGUCGGCAAGCAACAUACACUCAAAGUAUUUCUACAUUUAUCGCGAUUUAAAUUAUUUCAAAUCACAAACUUUCGUUGCU
rnacentral:misc_RNA from 1 species